AUUCACGAUCGAGGCCAGUGCAUCGAGAAGGGACGUUUAUUGAUGAUGUUGGAUUUUCUUCACUAUCUGGCCCGAGUCCGCCCAGGGAUCUCCCUACGGCGCUGUAUCUGGUCGGCGUAACGAGGUUUGCGGAAUCCAUCCGCAUUGCCGGUUAUUUCUGCGAGGUGCACAGGCUCUUCGACUGGAGUGUCUCCGACUCGGUUCCCCCGCCACCUCCAUACUUUGAUCGCCCGUCGCGAUCUGACGUGUGCUGUCAUCCAUCUGGUGCGGUGCCGUGUUCGCCUGGACUACGAUCUAAAGGAACUGCUGUGGAGUCGAGGCGAUCGUCGGUUGUACAUGCAGUUGGAUGUUGACUUGGUCAAUGCGCGUCUGCCGCUGACAUGUGAGCGGCGUGUGGCGUCCACGGCGUGUGAUGCGCUGGAGGCGACGACAAGAUGCGCUUGGUGUCGGAGUGGUUGACGACGGGCGCGAAUCAGGAGCUGUAUCGCAAGACAGUCUGCAGACUGUUAUGCACGAUACAGACUGCGGAUCAGCGUCCGUCCUCGCAUUACCACGACAAAGAAGUGGUGCACGGAAGGACUACAGGAUCUGCGCUUGGAGAAACUCUGCGCCACCCCCUAUCUACGCACAAUCCCGCAUUGCGCUGCGCUUUUUGCUGGCUCUGCGCCGUGACCUCUGAGGAUCCGGCAGCCGGUGCCACAGUUCCUUAAUCCAUCGUCAGCCAUGUUUGUGGUGCGGACAGCGGAACCGUGACAUUGACGCUGUGGGCGACAACAACACUCUGCUGUGACCGCGUGGUGGACGUGGCCGACAACAUACAGGACAUGUGGCGCUGCGAUGUGGAACGCGGUCGAGGCGGCGCUGUCGGCAUCCAGCAAGGAAAUCGACAAAAGAUUCAGAAACUGUUGGGCCGGUUUCCGUCUGGUCGCAUGAUGAUCUGCGCGAUCAAGUCCAUCGCCAAGGACCCCGCGAAAUCCGCCACACCCCCGAGCGCAUCGCCGUCCAUCUGACGCUCAGUCCGCGCGACAUCCUCACCGCAUAAGCCAGCAUAUCUUCAACGGCACCGUCAUCCCCGCCGCCGUCGCCAUUGCGGAGGUGGAUGUCGGACGGGAGGCGCAAUUCCAUCCGCGCUUUUUACCCCGAGUGCGAACGGGAUUGUGGAGGAGGAGCGGAAUGCCCCGGUGAUGGAGGCCGGACAGUUGGUGGUGUGCUGCUGAGAAGCGGGCGGGUGGAGCAGAACAGCACGGUGCGGGCGCUACAGCUGCAGCGCGUGUGACGGCGGUGGAGUUUGCUGAGGAUGACGUCAGCCCGGCUCAUCUGCUGCCAGGGGCCGUUGUAGACGUGGUGGUGGAGAAAGUUAGACGGGUGUGCGGGUGGCGCGUAGAUCUGUUCAAGUGAAUAUGUGUCAGUUCUGUUAAUGUGGACGGUUCGGUUUGUUAAUUGUGAAACUUUUUAAUUUUUUGUCAUCAUACAAUACGUUAUACGUGCAGUACUACUGUCGGUCAGCAUCGUGGUACUUGUAUAUACUGCGAUGGAGCGUAAA